AUUUGUCCAGUGGGACAUUUGAUAAAAUAUUAUAGAUCUAAUACAACGUGGCACAAAAUUUUAAUGUACAAAGCGUGUUUAGCGAAGAAGUUGAUAAUUCGUAUAUUCUCAGAAAAUAGUAAUAAACAUUUCAUAUGGAAUAAGUAAGCUUAAUUAAUUUUACUACGCGUUAUCGAUUGAGCGUUAUAAUUCUAUUUUUAUACGUGUUGCCUUAGUAUUAGAAGAUGUGAAAAAUCGCGUGGAAAUAGAUUAUGUUCCUAGACGCAGUAAACUUCCUCAAAAUCCUAUUGGAGAAGAAAUCGUUUUGAGUAUGGAAACGAGCCAAGUACCGAGAUAUUUGGAGCAACUUGGACAGCUCUAUUCGAUUAUUCGAAUUGUUGAAACAAAUUCCAUUCGUUCGAAUAGUUCGUUCAUACAGAUAAAUCGUAUAAAUUUAAGUCACGGCGCUCCGACGAUCAAUUCGAAUAUCGUAACGGAAAAAAUCGCUUUAUAUUUACAAGCAGGUAGAUCUGACGUAACAAAUGCAAUUAACCUUUAAAUAAACAGCCUCCGAUUCUUUAUUUCUUUAUUUCAGCUGGAAUUUGAUACGAGACCCUUCCUUAUUCAAAACCUACUUCUCUCCACGUAUCAAACUUCCUAUUACCUGAAAUCACGCGAAUACCUGAACACGCUCUCCAGGAAAUUUGCUUAUCAACGAAAUAUGCGAGCGCACAGGCUGAAAUUGAAAAUGUUCAAAUCCACGAAUACGUGCGUGUACGUACUUGCACAUUCGCCAUAAUCGCGAACGCCGUUCUCCCGUGUACAGAGAGAACACGUACCGAAGAAAAAUAGCGAUGAUAUCACGGCACGCAGGAGUAAACAGGAUCGUGCAAUCUGGCGUUAUCUUUCAGAUUUACCGAUGCUGCGACAGCGUGACCGUUCUCUGUAGCCAGGACGUUGCUUGUUAACGGCGGUUUGAACGCGUUGGUGGAACGAGGAUGACGCGUGGAGACGACGGCAGAGUGCCUAGGAGCGCAUUAUCGAUUCGUGAAAGGAGACUCGCGCCGGUUACUGCGGUUUCCACACGGCGGCAACGGCGACGGCAGCGGCGGCGACAACGACGACGACGCCGUGACGCGACGACGGUACAACGAGGACGACGAUGGCGACGACGACGUUAACGCCGACGCCAGACCAACUGACAGACAUCGAACAGCAGCCCGUUAGUCGAGUAUUUUGAUAACCUCAUGCCACCGGCCACCGGAACUCUGUUUCCAGUUGAUGGAGAAUCGACACUGUUUGCACACCACCCACGGGUUUAUUUGUUUAAUCAGUGAUAUUUGCAGGGGGAAUGGAAGUUCAUUGAAUUCGUUGAAGUUAGGUCACGGAACAGCGAGCAAGCAAAUAAACGUAAAAUUUGAGUAAGGACAAUGCGUACGAUAAGUACGAUACGUAAAGAGCCAUAAGGCGAUCAGAAUAUUGCUUGUGCCCAGAUAUGAGAAAUAUAUUGAGAAACGAAGGUUUAUUGUGUAAAUGGGAGAACGGUUUUAUGGUUUCAGAAAGGAAUAAUACUUUGUAGUAUUGUACAUAUACUUCAAAAUCUAGAAACUUUAUACCUAAGUCCAGACGAAAGGAAAAAUAUGUAAUAAGAAACAAUGUAUCAGAGAGAUCUUUGCAACGCUCUUUCAUAACUACGAUAAUUUAAACGAUAAAAUUUAAUAAUCUGUCUUUAUUAAAUCUAAAAAUUAAUAAUAAUAAUCAGGUAAUCUGAGAAGAGACUGGCUUGAAAUGAAACGUUACGUAUGGUAUGAUUAGAGUACUUGUUUUAUGUAAAAAUUAAUUUAAGCUACGGGAUCAAAAUAGAAAUACUACUAAUACCAGAACUAUUUUACAUUUUUCUAAGAAUUCGAAUAUUUGUCAAAAUAAUUGAGAAAUCAAUUUCAGAUUGUCAUUUUUACUCGUUUGACGGAAAAAUUCAUUUGAUACUAAAGUAUUCGAAGGAGAUAUCAUGCACAGGCGAGUAUGCAUAUUCGUGUAUCUAGUGAAUAUAGAAUUCAACGGCGGUUUCCUAGAAAAAGUUCUUUACCUGCUCAUAGGCAUCGAAUAGAAGCGGGGAAUAAACAUCGAAUUUAAUUACGACUGGCACCAGAUAUCUUUAUUUCACCCUCUUACAACUUUUGUAUGUACAUGUAUAUAUUCGGCUGCGGAAAUGGCAAUUCACGAUUACGAUGCGACAAGAAACAAGUGAAAUCAGCGAUUAGAUUUAGCGUACGAAGAUAAGCGAACCAAGCUGGCGAUCAUUUACGCUCGAAGAUAAAGCAAACGUGAUUUCCCGCAAUAAAAGCUCUUUGAGGAUUACAUGUUUCAGGCUACAGCUCCACGAGAUACGAUUAAUACUACUUGCAAUAUGAUUUUUCUAAUACAUUUCUUGAUAAUCAGGUACGCGUACAUGUUACGACGAUGUAAUUAUUCGAGUAACGUUAACGAUACUAUUGUCAGAUUUUUAGUUUUCGUACAUAUCGGUGAAAUAACUUUGAAAGUUAACGAAAGAAUGGACAGCGCGUUGAGACAUUGUAUACAGGGUGGUUGGUAACUGGUAGUACAAGCGGAAAGGGGGUGAUUCUACGUGAAAAAAAGUCGAAAAUAUAGAAUAAAAAAAUUUUUUUUUAAUUU